rnacentral:rRNA from 1 species
AGCAUGGUCUUAGCUUGCUAAGGCCGAUGGCGACCGGCGCACGGGUGAGUAACACGUAUCCAACUUGCCGUCUACUCUUGGACAGCCUUCUGAAAGGAAGAUUCCUACAAGAUGGCAUCAUGAGUCCGCAUGUUCACAUGAUUAAAGGUAUUCCGGUAGACGAUGGGGAUGCGUUCCAUUAGAUAGUAGGCGGGGUAACGGCCCACCUAGUCUUCGAUGGAUAGGGGUUCUGAGAGGAAGGUCCCCCACAUUGGAACUGAGACACGGUCCAAACUCCUACGGGAGGCAGCAGUGAGGAAUAUUGGUCAAUGGGCGAGAGCCUGAACCAGCCAAGUAGCGUGAAGGAUGACUGCCCUAUGGGUUGUAAACUUCUUUUAUAAAGGAAUAAAGUCGGGUAUGGAUACCCGUUUGCAUGUACUUUAUGAAUAAGGAUCGGCUAACUCCGUGCCAGCAGCCGCGGUAAUACGGAGGAUCCGAGCGUUAUCCGGAUUUAUUGGGUUUAAAGGGAGCGUAGAUGGAUGUUUGAGUCAGUUGUGAAAGUUUGCGGCUCAACCGUAAAAUUGCAGUUGAUACUGGAUAUCUUGAGUGCAGUUGAGGCAGGCGGAAUUCGUGGUGUAGCGGUGAAAUGCUUAGAUAUCACGAAGAACUCCGAUUG